UAUAAAAUUUACAACAAAAUAUGUCAUACAAUACAAAACAAGGCUUGUAAAUUGGAUCGGAUUCGGAUCGGGAUUCCACGAUCCUAUAAGAUCCCACUACCAGGAUCGAAAGAUCCUACCUAUAAGGAGUUUUUUACACGAUCCGGAUCCAUUGCACUCAAAUGGAUCGUAAGAUUGUAGGAUCGUAAGAUCCGGAUCGGGAUUCUGAUAACCAUGAUUAAAUGUGAAUUGUAGGUUGGAUCUUAACCAACUAAACCAUUUUACUAUUUUUACAUUACUCCAAAUUAAAAAUAAAUAUCUUUUAAGAACGUAUCCUGCAUUACCCAUACCCUACUUUUUAAAAAUUUCAUCGUAUCGAUGUAUCUGUACCAUACCAAUACUUGUAUCAGUACCCGUACACGUGCUUCAUGGCUUUUGAGCUUAUUAUAGGAAUCAGGUAGUUCCUUAUCCAACCUAAUGAGGGGUAUGUUGAAACUUUAUGAUCAUUCAGUAGUUGAGUAUGUUUAUCAAAUUUUUAGUACUGCACAAGAGAGAAAUAAAUGGUUCUUUCCUGAUUUUUUCUAUUUUUCUUUCACAUUCUGUUUCCAGUAUCAUUUGUCCUUUGGCCUUUAUAUCUGACCUUGCUACUUUUGACUGCUGAACGAAAGUUGAACCUUCACAUUUCAGGGCACUGGAAUCCAGAAAAAUUUUAUUCUUGCUGCUGCUUCAAUGAUGCCAAUGCUUCGGAAAGUGUCUCUUGAUGUGUGCGAUGCAAGUGAAGGUGACUUUGAAAUUCCAAAUUUUUCUGACAGGUACUUCUUGAGCAUUGUUAAAAUAGCAAGAUGCAAGCUUCAAAGAUGUGGUUUAGACCUUCAAAAGUUUUGCAGAACACCAGUGCACAAGGAGACCUUGGUACUAGUACGGGACAGCAAAAAUCUCACUAGAACAGUAAUGACAAGGUAUGCAUGUGAGCGAAGCGGUUAAAUGAGUGCCAUGCUUAUUCUUGUAAUUUGAAGGUAGGAGACUUCAAUGCAUGAAACCAAUUCUUUCCAAGAGGUGAAAUAAAAUAACCCGGUUGGAGUGUGAUGUCUGUAAUGCGUGUGCGCUCAAUGAGUCUCAUUUUUAUACCCUUUUCUAGAAGUUGAUGACACCAAAGAAGUGUUUGACCCAAUGUUUUAUUUCUGUCCUAGUUGAUCUUAAUUCGACGUUUGAAGUACGUUGAUUUUUCCCCACCUAAUAACAGAAUAUUUUUGUUUGUAAAUUCUCCAUAUUUGAUUCAGAAAUCUAUUUCCUUCUGUACAAGUUCUAGUCUCAAUAAGAAAUGCUAGUUCUUACAGUUGAUAUGUUAUGACACGAAUAUCGUUAUGGAUGGAUGAUGAUAUUCCAUUGA